rnacentral:rRNA from 1 species
AAGGAACGCUGGCGGCAGGCUUAACACAUGCAAGUCGAACGCCCCGCAAGGGGAGUGGCAGACGGGUGAGUAACGCGUGGGAACGUGCCCUUCGCUUCGGAAUAGUCCCGGGAAACUAGGUUUAAUACCGGAUACGCCGUAUUGGGAAAGAUUUAUCGGCGAAGGAUCGGCCCGCGUUGGAUUAGCUAGUUGGCGGUGUAAUGGACCACCAAGGCGACGAUCCAUAGCUGGUCUGAGAGGAUGAUCAGCCACACUGGGACUGAGACACGGCCCAGACUCCUACGGGAGGCAGCAGUGGGGAAUCUUGGACAAUGGGCGCAAGCCUGAUCCAGCCAUGCCGCGUGAGUGAAGAAGGCCUUAGGGUUGUAAAACUCUUUCGCCGGAGAAGAUAAUGACGGUAUCCGGAGAAGAAGCCCCGGCUAACUUCGUGCCAGCAGCCGCGGUAAAAC